rnacentral:rRNA from 2 species
AAUAAGGGCAGGUGGUGGAUGCCUUGGGUCAGAAAAGCGAUGAAGGACGUGGCAUAGCUGCGAUAAUUCUCGGGGAGCUGCUAAGCAAGCUUUGAUCCGGGAGUGUCCGAAUGGGGCAACCCAUCACGCAAUUCAAUGUGUGAUGCUUCGACGUAACGUCGGAGCGCGUACCUCGGGAAGUAAAACAUUUCAAUACCGAGAGGAAAAGAAAACAACAGCAUACAUUUUUCUGGUAUGACUCAUGAACGUUGUGAGCCAUACCAGCAAGUGCAUGCUUCAUUCCCCCAGUAGCGGCGAGCGAACAGGGAACAGCCUAAACCGCACAGCAUCGCAAGGUGGUGUGUGGGGUCGCGGGGAUCUCGCGUUAAACGGAUUCGAAAAGAUAGCUGAAUGCUUUGGAAAGAGCAACCAUAGCGAGUGACAGUCUCGUAAGCGAAAUCCGACAAGAAUCUGUGCGGGAUUUCCCAAGUACUCUGGUGAAUGAAAACGCCGGAGGAAUCUGGCAGAACUAUACUGCUAAGGCUAAAUAUUUUCUGACACCGAUAGUGAACUAGUACCGUGAGGGAAAGGUGAAAAGCACCCCGGUGAGGGGAGUGAAAAAGAACCUGAAACCACUGUGCCUACAAGGAACGGGAGCUCAUACUCCGGCGUAAGUCGGAGGGGGUGACCGUGUGCCUAUUGAAGAAUGAGCCAACGAGUUUAUACACAUUUUCGUUUAAGUCUGCUCUGCAGACGAAGGCAAAGGGAAACCGAGUGUUAAUAGCGCGAUCCUCUUAUAUGUCUUAUGUGAUACGUUUGUGUCGCAUAAGAUCAUGUGAGGGAAGAGAGUGUGUAUAAGACCCGAAGCCAAGCGAGCUACUCUUGAGCAGGAUGAACCCUACAGAAAUGCGGGGGGAGGUCCGAACCGGUAAGCUGUGCAACACUUUCGGAUGACUUGAGAGUAGAAGUGAAAAGCUAAACGCGCUUGGUAAUAGCUGGUUCUCCUCGAAAUAGCUUUACGGCUAGCGCGUAACAAUUUUUGGAGAGGGGUAGAGCGACUGGUUUAAGCGUAUAGGGCGAAAGCUCGACGCCUAAGUCAAACUCCGAAUACUCUCCACAAUUCAUUACGCAGUCAGACUACGGGGGCUAAGCUUCGUGGUCAAAAGGGCAAGAACCCAGACUUUCAGUUAAGGUCCCUCAAUCUCGACUCAGUGUUAAAGGUGGUAAUCAACCUAAGACAGGUAGGAGGUUAGCUCAGAAGUAGCUAUCCUUUAAAGAGUGUGUAACAACUCACUACCAUACUCGGUUGGUUGCGCCGAAAACAUAGCGGGGCUAAGUCGAGUACCGAAACUAAAGUUCUCCGACGCAAGUCGGAGGAGGUAGAGGAGCAUUUCCUGUGCCGUGAAGUCUCAGCCGUGAGGCGGGAUGGAGCGCAGGGAAGAGAGAAUGUUGGCAUGAGUAACCUGCAAUGCCGGUGAAAUACUGGCAGGCCGGAAUCCCAAGGUUUCCUACUCAACGAUCAUCGGAGUAGGGUGAGGCGGUCCUAAGCUGAUGCCGAACGGCGGAAGUAAUGGACAGACGGUUAAUAUUCCGUCCCCUUGGUUUUGUGCGAUGGAGGGACGAAGGAAAUGAUCUCAGGCAUCUUAAUGGAUUGAUGUCUCUUGCGUGGAGAAUUGUUUUUCGGCAAAUCCGGAAGACUGUCUUCAAUGACGAAUUCAGGCGUAGGAGGGAAGUCAGCUUCGGCUGGUGAACCUGAGUGACGAGCUUUCCAAGAAAAACUUCUAAGCUUCAACAAAAUCGAGACCGUACCAAAACCGACACAGGUGGGAUGGGCGAGAAGCCUAAGGCCAACGAGUGAUUCGUUCUUAAGGAACUCGGCAAACAAGCUAGGCGUAAGUUAGCGAUAUGCCUUUCCGCCCUCGGGCGGACGCAGCGAAAGUUUCUCUGGCGACUGUUUACCAAAAACACAGCUCCCUGCGAACUCGUAAGAGGAUGUAUAGGGGGUGAGACCUGACCGAUGCACGAAGGUUAAAGCCGCCGCUGAUGGUAUCGCAAGAUACUUGAGGUGAGUGGUCGAAGCCCGUGUCAAUGUCGGCCUUAACUAUAAGGGUCCGAAGGUAGCGCAAUUCCUUGUCAGGUAAGUUCUGACGCGCACGAAAGGUUUAACGACUGGAGAACUGUCUCAAGAACGAGCUCGGUGAAAAUGCGAAUCCAGCGAAGACGCUGGGUACCUGCGGCAAGACGAAAAGACCCCGGGAGCUUUACUGGAGCCUGGUAUUGGUGUAUGGAUUACGCUGCGUAGCGUAGUGGGUAGGAUUUGAAGUCCCGAUUCUGGUCGGGAUGGAUCCGACAAUGCAACACCCAUCUGUGUGAUUUAUACAUCUAACCAAGUCGGCAAAAACGGCUAGGGACAGUGCUUGGCGGACAGUUUUCGUGGGGCGCGAUCCUCCUAAAAAGUAACGGAGGAGUCUAUUAAGGUCGGCUUAGGCAGGAUGGAAAUCUGCCCGAAAGUGUAAAGGCACAAGCCGGCUUAACUGCAAGGCUGACAUGCCGCGCAGGUGCGAAAGCAGAGCUUAGUGACCCGAUACGUCGUAAUAGAAGGCGUAGAGACACCGGAUAAAAGCUACCCCGGGGAUAACAGGCUGGUUUCGCCCGAGCGUCCACAGCGACGGCGAAGCUCGGCACCUCGAUGUCGGCUCAUCCUAGCGCGGGGCUGGAGAAGGUCCCAAGCGUUGGGCUGUACGCCCAUUAAAAGGAUACGUGAGCUGGGUUCAAACCGUCGUGAGACAGGUUGGUCUCUAUCUGCCGUAGGCGUUGGACACUUGAAGGGAGUUGACCCUAGUACGAGAGGACCGGGUUGAACGGACCGCUGGUGUACCGGCUUUCCUGCCAAGGGAACUGUCGGGUAGCUAUGUCCGGAAGGGAUAAGCACUGAAAGCAUCUAAGUACGAAGCCCACCCUAAGAUUAGGUGUCCCGUCCGCAAGGACUAAGAUCCCUGGAAGACUACCAGGUUGAUAGGCGCUAGGUGUAAGGCCCGUAAGGGUUUUAGCCAAGGCGUACUAAUAGAUCG